rnacentral:rRNA from 1 species
GACGAACGCUGGCGGCGUGCUUAACACAUGCAAGUCGAACGGAAAGGCCCGGCGUUUGUGGGGUGCUCGAGUGGGGAACGGGGGAGUAAAACGUGAGUAACCUGCCCUUGACUUUGGGAUAAAUUCAGGAAACUGGGGCUAAUACCGGAGAGGAGCUCCUGCUGCAUGGGGGGGGUUGGAAAGUUUCGGCGGUUGGGGAUGGACUCGCGGCUUAUCAGCUUGUUGGGGGGGUAGUGGAUUACCAGGGCUUCGACGGGUAGGCGGCCUGAGAGGUUGACCGGCGACCAUAGGACUACGAUACGGCCCAGACGCGUACGGGCGGCAGCAGUGGAGAGUAUUGCACAAUGGGCGGAAGCGUGUUGCAACAGCGUUGCGUGCGGGAUGCCGGCCUUCUAGUGGUGAACAGAUGUCGACGGAGACGAAGCGGUAUUGACGGUAAUGGGUAAAGAAGCACCGGCUAACUACGUG